AGCCGUAUUGCAUAAAUUCUCCACUAGGAUGCUCUGAGCCUAGUUGCAUGGAGGAAUGCAAUUUAAUAGACAAGGGUCUUCAUUCCUUCUAUUGUAACCACAUUGGGCAAUGUUGUUGUUGGCCCCUAUAGUUUGAUCGGACACAACCAUUUUGGUUAUGGCUCCAUGACGUCUAAUGAAUCUUGAUUGUGAUUGUGUGAUGCAAUCUCGGGGAAUAAACUCCUUGCAUGGAAUGCGCAUCUCUAUUUGAUGUAGAUGGAAUAAUAUGUUCCUUUAGAAUGUGAUUAGUGGCAUCUGCUGCAAACCAUCUUUCUUUUCUUGUAUGACCAACUUUUCAAUUCAACUCAAUGAUUUAAAAGUAUGAAUAAACAAUCUUUCUACUUGAUUUUCAUUGUAUGGGUCUAUUUCCUAUAGGAAUCAAUUCCUCUAAAUUUCUUCCAAAAACCCGAACCCUCAACAUUGUGUCCAUGGUAGCCCUUGGAACAUUGUGCUGCUUAUCGGACACGAGAAAACCCAAAAAUAUCAAUAAAUCCAUGAAACAUGGAAUUGGUACCAUACAUGCAAUCUGAUAUGACCUGAAAAAAUUCGGUGUGACGAAAACUAUUAGUAACAAAAGGGGUGCCAAGCAGAAGCUUUCUAGAACUCACUAAGCUCGGCUCAGUUACUCCAUUGCUUGAAUUGGCAUACAUACACUCAAUGGUUGUUGGGUAUAAUCAAUGUGGUUACCACCAACCACCAAGCCAAAACGCUGUGUGAAACAAUGGUCCACCCAAACAAUCACUCUUAUCGAGACAUCAUUUAUGCGGAUCAAUGCAUUGCGGGUAAAGCUUUCAUUGAGCAAACAAUUUAUUGAAGGUUAGAAAUGCUAACUAAACCUACUUGAUGUUCACACUAUACAUUGAGCAAACAAUUUAUUGAAGGUUAGAAAUGCUAACUAAACCUACUUGAUGUUCACACCAUAUGUAAUAAUAUAGCCAUGUUGUAUCGGGCAACUGCAAUAUUGUCUCUCAUGCAAAUCACUGUUCACUAUUGUUCACUGCCUCGUAAUGUGUGCCAGCUCUCUCCCCAAGACAUGCAUGGAGUAGGAUCGCAAGGGAUUUCAUGUAAUUGAACAGUAUGCCCAAGACAUCGAAUGUACAGAACCGGGCAAAAAAAGACAUCAAAUGUACAAAAACUACACUAUGCACUAAAUUCUCUUCGGAUACGUCUGCCAAAAUAAAUUUCAGUUUUUUCGUUUGUCAAGAAGUGAGCCAAAAAUCCACACACCUAGUAAUAUAAAUGUUAGGUGAACUGUCAAUUUUAGUACAAAUGAAGGUGAUCUAUGCACACAUAUGAAGUUUGGUUGUGUCUCUACACAUUUGAAUGACCUUUUGAACCAUGCUGCCUUUCCUCGCACAUCAUGCAAAAAAUGCAAAUAUCAAUAUUAUUUUAUGAUUUUUUUGCGAGGGUAAAGAACAUCCCACUACUGGAAGUAGGCAGUCUGUCGUCCGGCAAGUAGAGAUGACAAAGGCUGGAAUACAUAGCACAAAUAUUUUGCCGUUAGCCAGCUGCCAACAAUGGUUGUCAGCUAAGUCUAAAUCGGCAAAAUGUAAUUUACUGUCAGAUUUUUAUCAGGCAGACAAGAAAGGCUUUGCCGUCAGCCGAACCUUCUUUGCCAUCAUUCGAACCUUCUUUGCCAUUAUUCGGACUAUAACAGACGACAAAUAGAAGUAACUUUGCCAUCGGUCAGACUACAUGUUUGCCGUCAACAUGUAGCAUAGGGUUCAAGCUCUCACUCCACUAAUUACUGCUCAAUCCUAGGAAACAACGCCCCUCGGGAUAUGGAGCACACCGCAACUUUCUCAUCUGAUACAUCUGAUGCAGGCAGGACUCCUCACUGGUUACUUUAUUCCGCUGUAAGAAUUGUAUCAAUUUUCUCUCAUGCUCAUCAAUGGAAGAUGAAUCAUAUAUGAAAGAUGUGGAUUGCCUUUACCGCAUCAUCAUUUAGAUGAAGUAUAGUGUUCUACUGAAUGUGCCGUAUAUACAACCUAUGGUUCGAGUCAGGCCAGACCACCCUGAUUGCUCUCUGCAUUGCAAGGUCCCCGUCCGUGAUCAUAGAUAUCUGAUUUUUUUGUGCCAUGGCAUCAAAAAAGGUCCACACCAUCCACUCAUAUGCCUUGCUUGUUUCAUGAUAAAUGAUACCACUUCAAAAAAUAAUAGUGAUGUGGUGAUGAUUCAACCCGAGAAACGAUACAAAUGGCAGAUUGUACUUAUUGGUUCUGUAUGUGCUAUCAAAAACAAUAAUGUUUCCGGAAGCCUCGUAGUCAAGUCAGGAUUGACUAUUAGACCAAAACAACCCCUUCAGAAGGCGAAGUUCAUCAACCAAGUGCUUGAAGAAAAAAAACCGGAUCUCGCUCUCGCUGCGCCAUCAUGUGACUGAUCACCGUUUGAGCACCACCGGUAGUGAUUGAUUCCUGCUUACUAGCAUGGAAGAAAUUGUAAAUGUCCCUCCUCGUGCAUCCAACCUGAUCAUAUCCAUCAUAUUGCAUGCGCAAGAUAUCCAUAAUAUGGUAUUUGCAGAUCCCGGAUUUUUCCAUGUUUGCAAUGUCCGCUUUUUGCUCAUCGCUAAUUCAUCUGUGUGAACACAAAAGACACGAAAUAUCCCGAGGGACUAGAGGAUGGUUGUGUUCAUCGAUGAAAUCCUUGACAAACCACCGACCUGUUUCCUCCUGUCUUGCAAUGACCAAUUUAGCUUGACACCCAACAUAUGUUAUACUGCGUGGCCUCCUCUUUCUAUCUUCCAUCUUCCUCUUCAUGUGCUUCUCUUCACGAACCCCUUCACGAUUGCACACAAUUUUUCUUAAAAUUAUAUGAUUGUUGGAUCCAUCCCACUCAACAUAGAUUCUCCUCACACUAAAAUCUUUCUCAAGAGCAUAUUUGUUAUAGAUAACUUUCAUCCUCACUCUGAAACAUCCUGUUGGCAAUAUGAUAGUACUCAAACAUACACUCGUCACUUACAUCUGCCAUGUCUUCCUGCAUGUUAGGUCAAAUGAUCAUCAACAUUUAUCCAUGUUGCAGAUGAAAACUAGCUCACAGACAAAGAAAAAUGCAUGCAAAAGCCAAUAAUAAAUCUUUUGUCGAAUAUUAAAACUUUGCUCGUUGUACUUGUAAGGCCAACCAAGCAUCAAUGUCGAUAAACUACUGAAGUAAGCAUCAAUGAUGAAUAAACCUAAAUUAUAUCGCAUGCACUAUGGAAACCUAAAUCGAUGAUGACUAAACUAAACUAAGUAGGAAGUGGAGGCUACGAACCCAAGUCAAGUCAGAUUCAUACCUUAGGAUGGCAGGCGGGAAGAGAUGGGAUUGGACGGCGUCGAGUUCCUCCCGAUUAUAGCGCCACCCACGUCGCACAGAUUCAGCCGGCACAGAUGUGGUGCCUUAUCUUCUUCUUGUCGCCGGGCACGUCGAGGAUAGUGAAGGGGAGGAGGACGAGGACGAGGACGGUGAAUUGAUUCCUCUCGCCGGGCACACAGGCACAGUGAAGGGGACGAGGACGAGGACUUGACCUCCAUCUGGAUCGAUUAAACGUGGUUCUGGUCGUGGAGGUGAUCGGUUGAAAAAAAAGAUAUUUCAGCAUGGACCAUUAUGCCCUUCAUGGAAUAAACAUAUUAAAUUUAAUGAUUUUUAUUCCUCCACCAGAUAUGAUGGCUAAUAAAAAUCAUAGGGGUCGGUACUGGGUAGUACUCCAAGUGCUACGCCAAUCACCAUAAAAGAGCUCAUCUGCAAAACAUCAUUUGCUUAUCCAUGGCUCUAAUUAGCAUGCUACUUACAUCUCAUUUUGUUUACACUUACUUUUUCCUUACUGACUAGGUAAUUGCCCGUGCAUUGCUACAGGAAUAUAGAUAGGUAUAGCUCAAACGACACAUAUAAACAAAUAAUCCAUUUAUCUAUCCCCGAGUUACCGCACAUGAAAAUGCAUGUUCGGCCGUCAUUCUACUUUUGGCUCGCCAUGAAUGAAAUCAUGUCAUCAAUCCUUCUCUCCAAUUGUACUCCACAAAUAUUUUCCCAAAUAUCAUUCUUCCUAAAUCACAUACAUACAUGGCCACAAUGAAUAUUAUUGGUGAUGAUGUAGAAGCAUGGCCUCAUCGUGUUCUUCUGUAUCUUAGUAGCCAAACAAGCCCCUUUUUUCAUUUAUCAACAAACUAACCCUAAUAUUGGGCACAAUUGUGCAAAUACAUAACACCCUGCUAGACUAAAUAAUAAAUUCAUGUGACGAAAACAAUAGACAUAAGAAUGUUGUGAAAAGAAUUAACCAACUUAGAUAGUAUAUACUGGAAGAAGCAUGGGAAUAUAAAUAUUGCUAGUCUUACAAGGAUAUUUACAAUUUUUUCCAACCUCUAACUAAGAGUACAACCGGACUCUUAGAGUGAUGAGUUCCUUCUAGCUCGUAAAUGAUUUACGUUCUCUGCAAUACAAAUAAUAGUCACUGUGUAUUGAGCGCCUGAUUUUCCUGAGUAAAUAUAUUCUUGGGAUGACCCUGUCAAAGAGGACGAGGAACAUUGAAGCAAUUAAGGAAAAAGCUAGCUCAACAUCAGGCCAUUGCCCGUAACGUACAUGACUGCAUGAUGCAGGCUAGCUCGCCAUCAUGCAGAUCCUUGUAACUAUACCAAGGAAAAGGUACAUUAGAUACGGCAAUCAAGCAGACACGAAACUUAGCAGAAAAUUAUAAACAGGAGAGCAUUUUAUAAAACAUUGAGGACCUCUGUCGUGCGGCUAGCCGCCGUCUCCAGGAGUUGAGGCUCGGCUGGUCGUUUUGCCCGGGAGGAUGGCGUCUGGCCAACUCAGUCCUUCCGAAAAGCUGCACGACCUCCAAGGUCAUCUUCUUGCUUCCCGUCUCUCGGUGGCUCGGUGAUGAAAAACGUUUGGUGAUGGUUCUACGCCGCGAUGGGGUAGGGCAGAAGGCUGAGUCCGCCGUCCAAUCAUGAACCGGUGUAUGAUGCUCGUGGGAGGCCGGGUUAGGCAGUGAUGCUCAGGGCGAUGACGUCGAGAAAAGGGCUCAGCAGUGGCAAGCACCGUAGGUGUGUAGAGGCGAUGCGGGCUUGGUGGGUCUCGGGUGUCCCGCACUGCUGGCAUAGACUUGAGGCGAGUACUCAACAACACCACGAUCUUCCCUAAGCAUUGAGGUUAAGAAGAUUCAAAAUGGCAUAGUAUUGAAUCAAGAAAAAUAUGUCAUUGAACUUCUGACUCGCAUGGGGAUGAAGGACUGCAAACCUUCACCCACACCGUUAUCCUCUUCAGAAUAACUUUCAGCACAUGAAGGGGAGCCACUUUAGAAAGAAGAAAGCACAAGGUAUAGAAGUGUUGUUGGAGCACUACAGUACUUGACAUUUACUUUGACACGACCAGAUAUUUCUUUUGUUGUUAACAAAGUAUGUCAGUAUUUGCAUGCUCCUACCUCUAUUCACUGGACAACUGUAAAGAGAAUUGUACGGUAUGUCAAGCAUACUGCAGGCUUAGGACUUCAGUUCAGACGUUCUCAUUCUACAUUUGUCAGUGCAUUUUCUGAUACUGAUUGGGCAGGCUGUAGUGAUGAUAGAAAGUCAACUGGAGGGUUUGCAAUUUUCUUUGGAUCUACUCUUAUUUCUUGGAGUGCCAGAAAACAAGCAACAGUGUCAAGGUCAAGUACAGAAGCUGAAUACAAGUCCCUGGCAAAUACUACUGCUGAGAUCAUUUGGUUGGAAUCUUUGCUUGCAGAAUUGGGAAUAAAGCAACAAUGCAUUUCAUGCUUACGGUGUGAUAACUUGGGUGCUACCUAUCUAUCUGCUAACCCUGUCUUUCAUGCUAGGACAAAGCACAUUGAAAUAGACUUUCACUUUGUACGAGAAAGGGUUGCGGACAAGAAGUUGGAGAUACGCUUCAUUCCUUCCAAAGAUCAAGUUGCAGAUGAUUUCACUAAAGCCUUGCCAGUCAAGCCAUUUAAAGCAUUCAGGAACAAUCUUAAUUUAGGAUAGUUGAGAUUAAAGGAGGGUGUUACACGUAUAGAUAUAUUCAGUUGUAAUCUCAAACUCAAAGUCUAUCUCUAUUUCUCUCCCGUAACCAUCUCGAUCUCUCUCUCCUGUAACAGACCAUAUCCUAGCGAUCGGUCCUUCUUGUACGCCAUGGCAAGAGGCUGUUCCUGCCUCAAAUCAAUAUAUAGACGCGGCUCCUCCAAGGAGGAGUAGGAACGCUUCCACAAAUUCUUACACCACCCAACCCGAACACAGCCCUUCAUUGUCAGAUUCCUCAAGAAACUCUGGAGAAGAUGACAUGUAAUGGCUCUUUCUAUGGUAGUCUCAUCUACUACCGCGACGGAUAUUGUCGCAUCAUCGAUGUGUUCACAGGCGUGGAGGUUUUAGCUCCACGUCUCCCGCCCAGUGCCAAAUGGGUGUAUGGCAUUCUAACAACCCCCCUCGGGUCACCCAACUCACACCUCCUUUUCAGUGCUGACUCCUACCCCAAGUCCUACCUGUUUAAUUGACUCUUGGUCCCAAGUCCGGCUUCCUUACAUGUUUUCAACGUACCAGAUUGUGGAAUUCAAUGGUCAGUUCAUUCUCUCGGAUGGCAAUGGGUGGUUCCACUUUGUGCAGCUGGCCCCUCAGCUUGGUCUGCAGGAGAUAACAACCGACAAGGAUUGGAGUCGAGAAAUUUGUAAUAUGACAGAGGUGUUGGUUUGUGGUGACAUGCUUAUUGUUCUCAUUCCCUUUGCUCAUGAGCUCUACCGCCUUGAUGUGUCGACCAAGCCUGUGACAGUGAUGACCAUGGAGAAGCUGGACAACUGGGAGGUAGGAAUGAGCACACCGCUUUAGUGUGUGAGCCCGGAAAAAUGGGGAGGGAGGAGCAAUACCUCGUACCGUGCCCGUGGUUACUCUGAACCUUGUCGUUUCCACGACUUUUGUGACGAGCUGGAUCCCGUGUCGGACACGCCGCCGGUGCAGCCGGCUUGGCUGCCGCUUAAUGCAGCCUGGAACCAUGGGGACAGGGGAGCAACCUGUUGCACUCUGCCUCCCUGACUCUGAUCCUUCUGAUGCUUCUUCCACUUGGUCUCAGUCUCGUGGUGGCGGCGUUAGUGCUGCUAGCUUUGGUAGAAUUAAUUACCCAAGUCUCAUGAUGUUGUUCUCAGUUUGUCCCCGUGCUGCUCUCUGUUUAAUCUUAUCAUGUGUCCCCUGAAUUGCCCUCUCAUGUGUCACCUAGAUUUGGUAACAAGAUACUUAGUAGACCAGCUUUCUCAUGCGCUGAUAUAUAUAAUAUAAUAAAGCAGUUUGUGGCAUUCAGUAGGUUCAUUGUUUGGAUCUAGACUUUGUUAUCGCUGUUGGCUAUAGCAGUGAUAACAAACUUGGCUUCGAUAGGAAACAAAUUCAAAUAUUGGUAUAUUUCUUCUUCUGCUGCUGCUCUAGCUCAUCAAUCAGUCGGAUGAUAGAAUACAAGUACUGUCUGAAUUUGCUCAUACUAGUUUUUUUUGCAACUCUCAUACUAGUUGUGUGUUUGUAGUGUGAGCUCAUGCACUGUCUGUUGGAUCUGUUGGAUCUGUUGCUUGCUCAUGGAUGUUGUAGUGGCAAAAUAGUAUUACUGCUUGCAGAUCAUGUUGAUCAAGAAGGACACCACACCACUCUCUAUGUACAAGUAGUAGUAUACUGUAGUGAUUAAGAAGGACCACGUACUAUCACUCUGCUUGGAGGCCACGCCAAGGAUUUGGAUUUCGUGUUGCAAAAUUUACCGGGCUUGGACGAGAUGGGCGGAAUUCGGUUUUUCAGAGUUUUUUCGGAAAAUUUUGGACGAAAAUGAGAAACCAAAACUUGAAAUUUGAAACGAUUUUUUUGCAUGGAAAUUUGAAACGAAUUUAACUGAAAUUUACACAAAAAUUGAAAUAAACUAGAAUAUAAAAGUCUAGCAGAAUCAUUAGCGAAAUAUCAAUGGCCCCGCGGAAAUUUUAUUUGCUUGUUUGCCCCCCUGUAGAAACGACUCGGCUAGGCGCGUCCCUUACACGUACAGAGGCCAAACUGCUUGCCGUCAUUGACUGCCAAUGUUCAACGGUCAUCACUACGACCGCCGACAUGGCACCGACCGGACACGGCCUUCGGAUACCCGCCACAGCGUUCACAGAAUGAACGACAAACGGCAUGUCGACUUGUGCUGAGUGUAAUGUGCCAACCGGUUAGUCGUGUCCGACGGAAGUGAUUGACACGUCUUUCGGCAUGGAGCGUAUAUUUUCUUGUGGCACGAUAACUGGAUGGUCGUGUUUAUUUGUCAGGCGCACUUACUUGUUUCUUUUAUGGGAAGGCCUUCGGGCUACGAAAACUCGCUUCUACGCACGGCGUCCAAUGCUAUGCAUAUCUGGACCAUGCAUGCACAUGUGGAUCAUUCCCAACGCAUUCAAUUGUCCCCGUAUUCAGACCAAGCAGAUUGUAUUAAAACCGUAGUAUGAACACUGUAAAUCGUUCGUAGCGGCACAGGACAUCACGAUGGUCUAUGUUGCUGCACUUUCUCAUCUCGCGCCCCCAUGCCCAAUCAUCGUAACCGGUCUAAGUUACAUUCGAUGCAGUCUAUCAUGUACCCGAGAAACAAGAAUGGACCAAACCAGGCGGCUCAUAUUUUAGGCCUCCUUUGGUUUAGAGGAAUUUCAUAGGAAUUAUAGGGAGUGACACAUCAUGCAAGCGCUCGUGGGCCGUGCCGAAACAAUUAAACGAUGCCAGUGGACCGGUCACACUAAGCUGUAAGCAUGUAUUAGUCUACGAACAGCAAAAAUCAUGACACAGAAGAAGAUUUUUUUUUUACGAAGAGCCACUCUAUUUUUACGAAUAGAGCAUGCACAAAUCAGUCUGUCAUGCUUUAUCAUUUGCACAGGAAAAUUAGAUCCAACAUAUUUUUUGUUAGGAAGAGCUACUUGUUUUCGCCCGCGGGCCAAUGAAUUCCAAUUGCAUUCGUACAAGGAUAGUUUUAGUUUAACCAAAGAACUACACCAUUAACAUAAUUACAGAGUUUGUCUGACCUAACUAUCCUGACCGCCCCGCCACAAUCAUGCACGCGUCGCACAGCUGUCUUGCUCCGACAAGUUGCAACAAGUAUGUGUUAUACCUUAAUAGAUCCAAGCAAAUCAAAUCCCCCCUAUGUUUUUAGGUAGUUGGCACUGUACAUUUUAUCAGUUGUGUACAAUGAUUUUUUUCUUUCUUUUUGUCAGGCAAUUUUGUUUAGUUCCCCCGGCCAGCCCGUAUGAGUAUCCAACAACGCAAUAGUCAGGUUUCAGAUUACAUCAAGGACCACUCUUCCGGCGAUGCAAUAGGAGAUGCGAUUUCUGCAACUAUUUUCACAUCAAGGAUUUCAGUACAGAAAUUUCUAUGUGUUGUGUCGCAGUUCGGUAAUUACAAGAGGACCCUUGCAGAAGAAACUGGUUUCGGUGGAUUGUUGCAGCUAAAGAUCACUCACAAAAUAAACUUGAAGUUCAAUGCAUCACUGAUGGAAAGAGUAGAUCCAGAGUAAUGCACAUUAGUACUCGACGAUAGCCGAAAAAUUCCAAUUACAGAUCAAGAUGUAAGCGACGUUUUCGGACUGUAAGCGACUAUUGCGGUCCGUUUUUCUUGAUAGCUCUCCUCCGAAUCUCCGUCAAAAAGAAUCUUAUCGUAUUGCUUCACGAAGAGAUGCAUGGGGCAUCCCGGCGGCACAUAACAUUUGAGCAUGUGAUUAGCGCUCUCACUGCGCUGUGUGCUUGUCAUUUUUACGCAAAAAACCCCCAUGAAAUAUGGUUUUGCCCACUUACGACGGCCUUCAUAUAUCUGAGUGAGGAAUGGAUGCUUCUGCAAACCAUAUUUCAGGAGCAUUGCAUCCCAUCCAUUUUCAAACUCUUCCACAGUUAAAACAUGGUGCACCAACAUUUGAAAAUCCUUCUUGAAUUCCGACUUUUUGCCAUACAAUACCCCCAGGCUCUCUUUCGUCUUUUUCAGUACAUGCCACUUGCACCACCGGUGUGUCGUGUUUGGCAGCUCGUCUAUUAUCGCCAACUCCAUCGCCCUUGCUUGAUCUGUGUUUUUUUUGGAAAAACCGAAAUAAGUCAUUAAGCUAUAGUUUCAGAAGAACCAGUAAGGAAAAAAAUUGGCAUUUGAUAUUCAAUCUCAGGGAAUCUGAAAAAGGUAACUUUUUAGGAGAAUAUCACCUGUUAGUAUAGUCAUUGGUGCUUUGCCACCAACCAUUCUAACAAAUUCCCUAAAAACCCAUUUGAAGCUUUCAACGGUCUCAUCCCUCAUAAGCACCGCUCCAAAAAUGAUGCUCUGGAAGUGGUUGUUCACUCCAACGAACAAACCAAAAGGCAUGUCAUACAAGUUAGUCCUAUAUGUUGUGUCAAAUGUUAUCACGUCACCGGAAUACCUAUAAUGGUCUAUGCCUCUGCCGGUGACCCACAUCAGUGUUUUGACCCUAGCCUCGUCAUCGACCUGAACAUUGUAAGAAAAAUUGUGGUCUGAUGCUUUGAUGUCUUGUAGUAGUUGUACAGUUUUAGUAGCGUCAUGGUCCGACUGAUCCUUGCUCAGUUUCCCACAGAGCACUUUCAAAAGACCUUUUCGUGAAUGGAACAUUCUCCAUAGCCCCAAAUAAACUACCCACAAUGUUGUACACCUUGCUCAAGUUGACAUUGUUCUCCCGCAACUGCUUUACCAAAUCCUUAUUGUGCACAUCAAUAUAUCGGUGCGACUUCCAAUGGAGUUUCUCACCACAGGUUAGCGACAAAGCAUGGUUAUGCACACUGCUGAAUUGACUAAUGUACCAACCAUUAUCAGAAGAACGCAGGAGACGUAUCAUGGCUUCACAGCCGCAUCUGAUCGAACGGCUGUUUUCCUUCCCCUAGUCCCCCUUCAUAUAGAUGAAAACACAAAGCAAACAAUUCAUAACUACAAACGCCAUGCAUAAAAAAUAAAAUUAAAUAAAAAAACAGAAAAUAACUUGUGAGAAUUUUCGCUUACCGCACACCCGCAUACAAGUUCUUGCAUGCACUUUGAUUUUUUCACAUUUAGUCUGCUCCUUCCAAAUCUUAUUCCGAAGCCAAUCUCCCACGAGUACAAAUUGUAGAACUCGUGAGCUUCAUCUAGUGAAUCAAAAGAAAGCCCGACCACAGGCAUUAUGACCACUCCCUUCUUUUUUUCUGUAAACCUUCCUAUCGACAUUUCCAAAGCACUUUUCCUGUUUGGGUUGUACUCCCUCGCGACGUCAACCUUCGUCAAACGCACCCUGCAAAUAUAGACAUUUUGUUAUUAUGUAAUCGCAUGUUUUCUCUUAGUCGACAAGAUUUUUAUUCGGACGCGCACGUUCCAUAAAUUUUUCACUUGGCCGACAUGUUAUAUAAUAUAAAAACUAAUCAAGCAUCCCCUCGUACGCGAUACAAACACUACUAGGAAAAGGCCUACUAGUGGCGCACCAGUUUUGCGUACUGAUGGCGCACUACUGGUGCGCCACUAGUACCACGCCACUAGUAUUAUAUACUACCAGAUACUAAUGGCGCACCAUGUGGUGCGCCAUUAGUAUACCAUUCGGUGCUCCACUGGUAUUCCCUCCAGGUGCGCCACUAAUAACCUUAUAGGUGCGUCACUAGUAAUAAAGGAAGGUGCGCCACAAAUAAGGGCUUAAAUGCGCCACUAGUAAUGUAUUUGGAAAACAAAAAAAAUCUAAAUUUACAGAAAACAACCUAUAAAGAAAAAUAAUUUAAAAACAAAAAAUGAAAUAGAAUCAUAAUUUUUAUUAUAGUAAGAAUAUUACAAUGUCUUUACAAGUUUCCAAUAAAAGGAAAAUUGCAAGGAAAUAAAAGAAAAUCCUAAAACUAAUCUUCUAGUAAUCUUUUCUUCUUUUUCUUCACUUUAUCCCUGCAAAAUGUAACAGAAUAAACACAAACACAAACAAACUAUUUAUAACAUGUCAAUACUGUCAUUUUUAAUGUAGAACUAGAUAUGAGCAUAUAUUUCUAGAAUUACAUGGUGUGAAUAUUGUAUGAGUAAGAUUAUAAUGGAAAUGAAUUUUGAUAGGAGCCCACUUUUGACGAGUAUUUAUCUGACAGAGCUAAAUAAUCAGGGCAUUUACCUUUUGACAAUAUUAUUAUACUAUACUACCAGUAUACUACUCCACUUGGAUUUUUUAGAUGAGCAGAUCUGAGAUAGACAUUUGUUCAAGUGGCUAUAGGUAGGCUUGAAGAAUUCUCAUCGGUUCAAGUGGCUACAGGUAGUCGCACAGCUGGAAUAUAGACUAUUAGUACUAUUUGAAAAGAAAAUAAGAGUAAAUCUGAACGUACUAGUCAGAUCCGAUCACAUUGAGCUAGAAAGAAAAUUCAUCAGGAAACAGAUGGCCGGUGACUUACCUCCAGACGUUGAGGAUCUCGUUGUGCCCGGCGAAGACGCUGCGGAGCGCGUCGUGGACGGACUGCUCACAGCGAUAGCUGCCGCAGAUGAACUCGUUGUCCUGCAGGUAGUCCAGCAGCCAGGAAUUAAAGAUAGGAGGGCUAGAACUGAAAGAACUAACAUCUUAGAAAGCAACAUGAGAUAAUUCAUAUAUGCAAAAUACGUCUUCACCAAAUUUGUUGAAACAUGAACGAAAUGUUUUAGCAGUACCAAUGAUACAUGUCAAAUUAAUUGUUCUUGUCAUGACAAUGUAAAAGUAGUACUUGCAUGCCAAUGAAGACUUGCUAGUGUCAGAUUCUAUGAGGUUCAGGACAUGUGUAAUUGUGCCAAGUUCACUUGUAAUGCCAUUAUUCAUGAUCUGAACUUUAUCCUCCACAAAAUAAAAUAACAGUUGAUCCAUGCGAAUGAUACUUAAUUUUGAAGCUACUGUUAAUUUAUAAAAUGAAUAUAAAGUGAGUUUAUAAAUUCAGAAACAGAAAAUUCAGUUAGGCUACUGUUAACUGAAUUUUGGAGUGUGUACUUAACAAAGGCUUCAUUUGAAUGUACAGUCAAAUUAAAAAAAUGUGUUCCUGGGGCAGCAGCACUAAGAACUGAAAGAAAAAGGUGCAGAAAAAAGCUACUGAAAAACAAUAUCGGAAGUAGUGCAGACGUUGUUGAGGCGCUGACUGAACCAUUGAUAGUGUUACCACUCUUCUUUUUUGCGUCCAUUAGCGUGACAGUGAGGUUACAACCCUGCCAUCGACGACGACGACGACGACUAGGUUGCUGCUGCUGCUGUCCCAGAAACAGAGACAGAGGGAGAUCCAUUCAAGCUAAAACCGUUGGAAACAAGAAGAUUGCUGUUGCAAAACUAUUCUCUACAUAUAUGUGUGAGAUAUCUCAGGUAAUUUUUUUAAGAAACAAACGCAAUAGUGUAGACUCUGCUUAACUCCGUUGUUUAUUUGUUUUGCUUGAGCUGCGUGCAGGAAAGAGAGCUCCCUUUGAAUGCAACACAUAUAGCUUGAAACGGAAAAACCUAUAUGCAUCGCUCUGCACAAGUAUUUCAAGGACACACGACGCAAUUCAUUUAUCGUGGCAAUGCUUACUGGAAGUCUGAUGCAGCCGACGUACUAAAACUAAGCUACACUAUCCAGAGGUUACAAGAUUUGGUGUAUAUAUAGUCAUAAUAGCACGUGGCAUUCUUCCAUGGCUGCUUAGUGUCUGCACUAUGUGCAGAACAGGACCAGAUUCUUGGACUGAAUUUCAUGGAUUUUAUAUUAUUCACAUCUGCCAAAAUGAAACUUGGUAGUGGUAGAUACACGAUUUCAGGUGCUGGACUCAGUUGAAUUUAGUUCCCCCUUCCCUGCUACGGAGUGCGAGCUACACAGGACGAGGAUCAUCAAUUAACUGUCUACUGCACUUGUUGCAAUUGGAUCAUAAGACCAGAAAUAAAUCAUCUAUCAACUGAAACCUUCAUCCCCCCUUCAAAGAUACCAAGCGACCAACUGUGGAGCUCGGCUACGGCAGACAGGCAGAGGGAUUUCUACGCCAUACACGGGAUCGGGACUGGGGGUACGGAAGGAUCCACGGGCAAGAGCCCUGGUUCUGCCUUGAGCUCCCUUGCUCCCUAGGGCAUCGUCAUACUGAUGCAAGGGGUGAAUCGGGGCGGAGCGGAGAGGGCGUACCUGACUGGUGGGCAGACGAAUCGGAGCUUCCCGAUUAAAUUCAAAUAACAGUUACAUUGUUCGCUAAAAAUUUAACCAAGAAAUCUGGGGGAUCAUCCACCCAAACCGUAGGAGAAUUAAAACAACCCCAACUAGCUAGCUCAUGAGCAACUACAUACGAUUCCCUAUUACAAUGCUCAAUAUAUACCUUCCCGAACUCUUUCAAAAUAUUUCUGCAGUCUUCCAAGACAGGAGCUGACAUCGUUCCAUGGCCUUCAUUUUGAUUCAGGGAUUCUACCACAAUGAUAUUGUUCAUUCUUACCAUGACGUUAGAACACCCAUAACCAAGACAUAAUUUUAAGCUUUCAGAAAGUGCCGCUGCCUCUGCCGUAAUUACAUCCGCCCCAUAUUUAAGCUCCGCAGUUCCCGCCAAAAUAAAGCUCCCCUGGCUAUCACGUAUGACCAUACCGCAUGAACCAGUAAACUCACCAGCAGAGAAUGAUGCAUCAACAUUCAGUACCUGCUGUCCUGCCAACAGAGCAGGCCAUCUGUUCGAUCUUGGGAUUGUGGAGGGUUUCGCUGCUGCUCGGGCGUAAUUCAAGGUUAGCGCUACUAUAGCCGGCCCUGUUUUGCUUGGCUUUUGCCUCGUACAAUCUCCUGUCUCUGCCACCACAAGUACCAACAGGCUGCUGCAAAUAAUUCCGGAAGCUCGACAGCCUACAUGUAUAUCCGCUGGAAGGACUCGUCACAGAGUAAAACACCAUAAUUCAUGCUCCAGAUCGAUCCAACUGUACAGCCAGCUCUCUCUCUGUUCCAACUCCUAGUGAAUUCCAAGCUGCUCGUGCUCUAACACACUUAAAUAGUGCAUGUGCCACGUCUUCCGCAUGAGCUUCACAUAUAGGACAUUGUGACACUUCCCCGAUGUGACGAUUAUGUAGGACACAGUAGCAUGGUACAGCGUUGUGUAAGCACCUCCAGACAAAAAAAUUGAUCUUUCCAGGCACUUUCAACUUCCACAGUUUACGCCAAACAGGAUGGAAAGAGGAGCUAUGUCGACUUACACCAUCAUUAUCAGUAUCAGCAUACUCCUCCCACUGUUUAUAGUAAGCCGAUCUCACAGAGAAAACACCAUUUUUUGUUAAUUGCCAUGCAACAAAAUCCUUUGUCGCGUGCUGGAAGAGUGGUAUUUUUAGGACGCGAUCUGCGUCAAUCUGCCAAAAAUUAUCCCGUAUAAGCACCUCAUCACACUGUCCAGUAAUAGGGUCAAUCAAUUCACGAACCCUUGUCGCAACUUGAUUACCCCUAACUGUAAUAACUUUCCUAGAUGCACUGCUUGGAAUCUAGCAGUCGUUCCAUAUAUUGAUUUUUCCCCAUCUCCUACUCUCCAUAUGCAUCCUUCCUUAAAAGUUUGGAUGCCAGCCCAAAUACUUUGCCACACAUAAGAAGAUCCCUUCUUCAACUCACAGUUAAGCAUGUCUCCAUUAGGAUAAUACCUUGCUCUCAACACACGCGCACAAAGGGAACCAAAGUUCUCAAUCAACCUCUAGAAUUGCUUUGCUAACAUUGCCAGAUUAAAACUAUGAACAUCUCUAAAGUCCAUGCCACCUCUUUCUUUGGGUAUACAUAUUUUCCACCAUGCAAACCAAUGCAUCCUCCGUUGGUUAUCCUCAUCACCCCACCAAUAUUGCGACAUAGCGUCAGUAAUCCCCUUGCAGGUUUUCUUUGGGAAUCUGAACACACUCAUCGCAUAUGUUGGGAUGGCUUGGGCCACCGCUUUCAGCGAUGCCUCUUUGCCCCCAUAAGAGAGAGUUCUCUCACUAGUAGAAAACCGGGCAAUAGCACCGGUUCGGAAGGGCCUUUAGUGCCGGUUAUGGAACCGGCACUAUUAUUUCAGCACUAAAGGCCCCCCCCCCCUUUAGUACCGGUUCAGCACAAACCGGUGCUAAAGGGGUACCACGUGGCACGAGACAGCUCCGGGGGCCGGGAGCCCUUUAGUACCGGUUGGUAAAACCAACCGGUACUAAAUGGUUGUGGGUUUUUGUUUUAUUUUGUAUUUUUCAAUUUAAUUUGUGUUAUCAAUUUAAUUUAGGAUUGUUUUACGUUAUAAUGAGUUGUAGUCGUCAUCAUCAUCAUCAUCAUCAUCAUCGCAUAUUAAUAAAUAAAUAAACUCUAGCUAGCUAAAAAUCAUCGUGGUCGUCUAAUUACCACUAUUUAAUCAUCAUAGUCAUUACCGCUAGCUAUGUAAUUCAUCAUCAACGUUGGCUAGCUUAAAGAGGAAACAUUCACUUUGUAACAGAAGCAAAGAGAUAUCAUCAAGUUCAACAUAAUCAUCACCAACAUCGAAGUUCAGGACACGGAUCCAUGAGACAAGUACUAAUUAAGAGCAUGAAGAGUAGCUACUAAUCCUGCUGCUCCCUCUCAGGUAGAAUAGCAUAGAACAUGUAUAGCUCUCCUGAUUCAUCAUACUGGAGCAUGCAGAUGAAUCUGUCUCCUAAUCUUGGGUUGCGUUUCUCCGUACUGCCCCCUAGUACUUCUCUGCGAUCGUUAACAAUUUUGCUCCAAUCUUUCACUAUUAAGCAUUCUUCACUUUUAGAAAUCCUGAAUGCACUCAUGUGCAAUGUAGGAAAUCUUGGUCGUAAGCUAACCAUUGACAUGCGACCUUUUGUCUCGAUCCACUGGGGCACAACUGUCAUCGGAAGUCCCUGUUGAACAACAUCGUAUAGUAAUUAAUAUACUAAGCAAUGAAAGUUUAGCUUCAAAAAUAAUGUAUGCAAAAGAUGCACUAAAUUAAGGACAAAUAUUUAAAAUCUUACCAUCUUUUGAUUAUAGAUGUGACCGUAGUUCAAUACGAUCACCAUUGGUCGCACGUUUUGAGUACUAACAUUUCUAAGUGUAGGGAAAAAAUUUGUCUUGACAGUAUUAAGAUCCUCAAGCCAUGAAACAUAAUGACUUAUCUCCUCGCAGUUUAGUUGAGCCUCGGGGCAGUAGUAGGUCCUGUCUACCAAGCGCCGGACAUGUUUGCUUGAACCGAAAUAAGCUGACAAUACAAAAUAGUUGUCAACUAUUUUUGAAUAAACUGUACGAAAGACAUAAACAUAUGCAUGCAUGGUUGAGAAAAACUCACCAAAUGGUAGAACUGGAGGCGUUUACACAUCGACCCAGAUGUCUAUAUUACCUUCAAUAUCAUCUUCCGGACGAAUAUCAAAGGUGAUAACCAUAUCAGGCUCAAAUGCAUAAGCCUUGUAUAGUGCUUGCCAAGUUUUGCAUUCAAAAUGGGUGUAUGUGUCUCCAUUAUAUAAUUUGACAUUGAAAGUAUACCCAUGCUGCGUCUUCAAGUAAACUCUCUUUACCUCCAUAUCAUCUAUAGCACUGAAACCUAUCUUAUCCAAGACGAAAAUUCUUGCAUGGCAGGGGAUGCGCUAGUAGAAUACUGAAAAUUUAAAAUUAUAAGUUGAAGCAAAUGAAGCAUAAGUUUUGCAUUCAAAUAAUAAUUGACAAAGUGACUUACUGUAUCAACUUCGAAUGUCUCAUCCAGCUUGAUGCUGAAGCGCCUACCAUCAACAAGGAAAUUUUGGUCGCACAGGCCGCGCUGGUCUUCACAGUGUUCGCACAUAAUAAAAUCUUUUUCGUCGUCAGAUGACAUUUCCUAUGUUCAUAUAGGUGAAACAUUAAACACAUAUAUCUAGCCAAAUAUAUAUNNNNNNNNNNNNNNNNNNNNNNNNNNNNNNNNNNNNNNNNNNNNNNNNNNNNNNNNNNNNNNNNNNNNNNNNNNNNNNNNNNNNNNNNNNNNNNNNNNNNNNNNNNNNNNNNNNNNNNNNNNNNNNNNNNNNNNNNNNNNNNNNNNNNNNNNNNNNNNNNNNNNNNNNNNNNNNNNNNNAGUUCUAAUCUCAUAUACCUAAAUUUUCUUACUAAAAAUAAACUAGUUAUAUUAAUUAUUCAACUAGUUCUAAUCUCAUAUACCUAAAUUUUCUUACUAAAAAUAAACUAGUUAUAUUAAUUAUUCAACUAGUUCUAAUCUCAUAUACCUAAAUUUUCUUACUAAGAAUAAACUAGUUAUAUUAAUUAUUCAACUAGUUCUAAUCUCAUAUACCUAAAUUUCCUUAUUAAAAAUAAACUAGUUAUAUUAAUUAUUCAACUAGUUCUAAUCUCAUAUACCUAAAUUUCCUUAUUAAAAAUAAACUAGUUAUAUUAAUUAUUCAACUAGUUCUAAUCUCUAGUUCGACAAUUUUUCUAUCUAACUAGCUAAUUCAUCUAACAUUCGACAUUAAUCUAACAUUCGAUCAUCUAAUUAACUUUUCUAAAAAACAGAAAAUAAGUAAAAAAAAUUGUGUGUGUGUAUGUGUGUGUAUGCAUGUGUGUGUAUAUAUACGUAUAUGUGUGUACGUAUGUGUGUAUGCGUGUGUGUGCAUGUGUGGUAUAUGUGUGUGUGUGUGCGGCCCCAUAUGCCGUCGCCCCGUACGUACGGGGCGGGGGCGCCGGCAUACGGGGCGGGGCGCCGCCGGUGUGUGUGUGUAUGUGUGUGUAUGUGUGUGCGGGAGCGAGAGAGAGACGUACGGCCGCGGCGAUGACGACGGACGGCGGCGGCGUUCGGGGCGGCAGUGCGCGAGACGACAACGACGACGGGCGGCGGCGGGGACAGAGACGAUGACGACGGACGGCGACGACGGGAUCGAGUGGCGCGCGCGGCGGAGGUUGGAGACGAAGUGGCGAGUUGAAACUGAAAUUUUCGUAAGUGCUGUAUAUAUAGGAUUGGCCUCUAGUACCGGUUCGUGGCUCCAACCGGUACUAAAGGCCUAUUUUCCCCAGGCGAAGCGGCGAGAAACGACCCCUUUAGUACCGGUUCGUGCCACGAAUCGGUACUAAAGGCCCCCCCUUUAGUACCGGUUGGAGCCACGAACCGGUACUAAAGGGGGGUGCGCUGCUAGGCGAGGGGCGCAGAAGUUUAGUCCCACCUCGCUAGCCGAAGGGCGCACACACCUGCUUAUAAGCCCCGCCGCCACUGCUGUCUCGAGCUCCUCUCUAAAGCAGGCCUUCUGGGCCUACCUCUGCUACUCUGCCCUGUGGGGCCUAUUGGGCUUGCGGGCCUGCAUCCUGGCCCAACAACAGGUUGGGUUUCUAGUCGUAUGCAGGCCGCUGUGGCCCAGUAUGUGGGCUUUUUUCAUUUAGUUUUUUCUUUUCUGCUUUAUUUAUUUUGUUUUAUUUAUUUUUAGUUGUUUUUUGUUGUAUUUAGAGUUUGCGCUGCCACCCCAAAAUUUAGUCCCACCUCGCCCGGCGAAGGGCAGCCGCACUGGUUUAUAAACCAAGCCGCGGCUACCUCUUCGAACUCCUAUAUAUAGCAGGCUUCUAGGCCUAAUUAAUUAGGGCGCGCUGCCCUGUGAGUCUGCUGGCCCUUCUGGGCCUGCAUUUGCACACCCUAGGUCUGGUAGACCCACAGGGCAGUGCGCCAACAAAUUUGCUAUAUAGUUUUUUCUUUUCUGCAUUACUUAUUUUUAUUUAUUUAUUUUUGAGUAGUUUUUAUAUAGUUUUUUUUCUGCAUUAUUUAUUUUCUUCUAUUUAUUUUUGAGUAAUUUUUUUGUAUAGUUCUUUUAUUUUCUGCAUUAAUUAUUUUUGCAUAGUCCGAAACCCUGAUACUCGGAAAGAGUUUGUUCAGUUUGUACACGAAGUGCGUCCAGUUUUUGCCGUGACCCUCUCUACUCUUUCGCGCAUGUUUGCGGGUGAUACGAUGAUACCAUGCCAAGUUUCAACAUUUUCAGGAUUCAUUUUGUAGUGAUUUUCAAUUUCACGGUCAUUUAGCUCUCUAAACAAUUAGGUAAAUGACCGAAAAACAACAAAUGAUGUCAGAACAUGUUGAAAAUUGAUGACGUCGCUUUAAAUGCUGCAUACUGAACACAAAAGAAGUCCGGAGUUCAAAUAAGUUUAAAAAACAUUGAAGUGGCCAUGUAACAGAUGAGUUCUCGUCCGAAACCCUGAUACUCGGAAAGAGUAGGUCCAGUUUGUACACGAAGUGCGUCCAGUUUUUGCCGUGACCCUCUCUACUCUUUCGCGCAUGCUAUGCGGGAGAUAUGAUGAUACCAUGCCAAGUUUCAACAUUUUCAGGAUUCAUUUUGGAGUGAUUUUCAAUUUCACGGUCAUUUAGCUCUCUAAACAAUUAGGUAAAUGACCAAAAAACAACAAAUGAUGUCAGAACAUGUUGGAUAUUGAUGACGUCGCUUUAAAUGCUGCAUACUGAACACAAAAGAAGUCCGGAGUUCAAAUAAGUUUAAAACACAUUGAAGUGGCCAUGUAACAGAGGUGCAAUGCUGGUUAAUUUGCUUCAAGCCAUUCGGAAUAGUGUAGACUGCACUGCACAUAGCUCAGUGCAAUCUAUGCUAUUCCGCAAGGCUUGAAGCUAAUCAACAUGUAGAAGAUCAUCUUGAGCUUGUGUCCCCUUGAAGGAAGUAGGAUACUUCUCUUGUUGAGGAACAAACUUUGUCUUGGGGUAUUGAUCUUCUUCCCACUCAACUCCAUUGGCAUUGAACUUUCGUUCAAAACCAACACCUUGAUUCUUCCCUUCAAUAAGCUAUUUUCUUGCUCAAGUGUAACUUGGCUAAGAGAAUCAUUAGUGGAAUCAAGAGAACUACUAGAAGCAACAAUGUUAGAUCUUAUGUCACAAAAAAGAAGUUGUAUCAAACCUUUUAUGUCGGAUCUAGAACAAACCAAUCGGUAUCGCCAUCAUACAGCCCUACCGUGGCUCGUGAUGCAUAUAUAUGCAUUUCAAAUGCACGGUUGGGCGUAUGAUGGCGAAUCUGAAUGAUUUAUAUUCAGUCGAUGAACUGGUAGAAGUAUGCAGUCGAUGAACUGGUAGAUGUAUGUACUCGAUGAACUGAAAGACUUAUGCAGGGAAGGCGAGAGAUGGGCUAUAUAUAGGGUUGUCUGGCUCACAAAGUGAUUGCGGUAGUUUCGAUCCAACGACUCACAUGAGCUAGGAAGAAACACACCCUUGAUCCAACGACUCGCAAGAGCUAGAAAGAAACACACGAUCCGUGUGAUUCUUCCUGAUUGGUGGGAUGCACAUUAGUAUCGGUUCGUGCCACGAACCGGUGCUAAAGAUUGGCAACGAACCAGUACUAAUGGUAGCAGCCCGCCUAGCCGUUGGAAUCGGCACUAAUGGUCACAUUCGUGCCGGCUCAAAUUCAAACCGGCACUAUAAUGUGCUUCACAUUUGACCGUUUUUCUACUAGUCAAUAGAGUUUGCCAAACUUGAGUUUCCCAAGUCACUUACACAAAAAGCUAUGAUUCAUGGUUGUCAAAUCCAUAAUUUCCAAACCACAACAACCUUGAGGCAUAACAAGCUUUAAAUGUUGCAUACUGAACACAAAAGAAGUCCGGAGUUUAAAUAAGUUAUUAAAAAUAAAAAAGAGGUGCAAUGUUGGUUAAUUUGCUUCAAACCAUUCGGAAUAGUGUAGAUUGCACUAAGCCACUGCACAUAGCUUAGUGCAAUCUAUGCUAUUCCGCAAGGCUUGAAGCAGAUCAACAUGUAGGUGAGCAUUGCAACUCUUCGUCAUUGUCUGUGCACUCACGGCUUAUAAACCGCUCAUACUGCCUCUCUCUUGGCGAGGUGGGACUAAAAACAGCUUGCCGUAACCGGCACCGCUCAUUAGUACCGGUUCGUGGUACGAACCGGCACUAAAUGGUGAUGGUGGGGCCAUAGCCUGACCGCAGGAUGACACAGCAUUUUUAGUACCGGUUCAUGCCACGAACCGGUACUAAAGGUUCGCCACGAACCGGUACUAUUGAUCGUCGCCACGAACCGGCACUAAUGUGCACAUUAGUGCCGGCUCAAAUACAAACCGGCACUAAUGUGCUUCACGUUUGACCCUUUUUCUACUAGUGUGAGUAACCUAAAUGAUUGUGAAAAAAUUAAAAAAAAUGGUGUGCCUAGGGCUCGAACCCAGGACCUAUUGUUACAAUCGUUGAGAACAAUGCCAGUAGAGUAAUAGUAGUGAUUUGUUAGGUUGUAGAUAAUCCAGGUUUUUAUCUGAACAUUGCUGCUUUCAGUUAGUACUACUGCUGUGAACAUUGUUGUUUUUAUCUGAAAUUCAGGUUUAAAAAAUAUCUUCAAAAAUAGGUGCUGGGUUAACAAAAUCAUGAUAUAUUUUGGAGUGAAUACUGCUGCUGUGAACUAAAAAUAAUUUUCCCAAAAAAAUGUUUGUCCUGGGGAUCGAGCCCAGGACCCUGUGUGUGAUAGGCUGAGCUCCAUGCCAACGCGCUAGUAAUAGUGAUCUGCUAGAUACUAAUUGCCACGUUUAUUAUAGUGAGAUAAACUGUACAUGCUGGUCAGAGCGGUGCCGUUCGCUCUUCCAUCUCUAUUAAGAGGCCACCACCCACCACCCACCGCCCCCACUCACCACUACCGUUUCACGACGCCUCGGGCUCUACGCGCCCCACCUCCCACUCCACCUAAGAAGAAAACCCUCGCCGGCCAUCUCGACGCCGCCGCUGACGCCAUGGACAGCCACCCUGCAUGGCAGAGGAUGGUCGACGAGCUGGCAGGAGACGACCAGGUCGCGCGCGGAGCUCCAGGAGAUAGGCCGGUGGUUCCUCAACAUCGACAUGCUUAGGAACCACGCGCGGGGCCUCAUCGAGCAGAUGACCGACGACGAGAAGAGGCGCGCUCUCGUGGACGGCCCAGGUACGCAUCCGGCCAACAUCUUCCGCUUCGCAAUGGCGGAGACGCGCUCCGACAAUCCGAGGCAGCGCUGGCGUUGGUGGAUGUAUAGGUCCGCCACCAUGCAGCAGCCGCAGUCGGAUCCGACGCGCAUGUGGUCGAGGAUGCAGCGCGUCCACGAUGUGGUUCUGGCCCUGCCUGCGCCGGUGCCCCUCGUGCACGUCGACGACAACGACGUCUCUCUGUCGUCCGACUCGGAGUACUGCAAGGUGGACUCCGACAACGACUCGGGCUACAGAGGGGAUUCUGACUCCUCUGCGUCGUAUGCCUCGUCUGGCGAUGAGGAGGUGUCCGUCGUUGUCCUGUAGGACGACGAGGAAGAGGAGGAAGAGGACGAGAUCCAGAUGAUGGCGCCAGUCCACAACGCCAAUGAGGGCGACAGAGACCUCCCAAUUGACGUGGAGGUGCUCCCAGAUGUGACAGACAUCGUCAAGCAGGAGGUGAUGGAUGAGGCAGAAGAGGAGAAGGUGGCAACGGCACCACAGAAGCUGGAGAAGACGAAGAAAAGGCCAUUUGCAGGGGAGGUGCGCCGCUCGGAGCGCCUGAAGCACCUGAACAACUGAACUGAAGAUGAUGGACAAGAAGAUGAUGCAGUAGUUAGGUAUGCUGACUAGCAAGAAAAUUCAGCAUAUAAGUUAGUGAUAUUUUGGUUAGUUUAUGUUAGGUGUGCUCUAUAUAUGCAGAGCACAUAAGUUAAUUGUAAUGUUGCACUUCUGCUAUAUUGUUUGAACAAUCCUGCAAUGUUUAGGACAUCUGCAUGCUAUCUAUAUAGUAAAUCUGCUUUGCUAUGCCUAUCUUGUUAUCAUGCUUUGAUUUGCUGGUGCUGCUGCUGUUACAAAUGCUCUGUUAUAAUGUGGUCUGUAGCUACAACUUUGCAAAGAAAGAAUGCAACAGUUAUGUAGGGCAUUCUGUUGUUGCUUUGCAAUGUUGUUGUUGCUGCUGCUGCUGCUUUGCAAUGUUGCUGCUGCUUUGCAAUGUUGCUUUGCAAUGCAACAGUUAACUGAAGAUAUAGAUAACUGAAUUUGUAGUUAACUAAUGAUUUCUCAUUAAAAUUCAGUUAAGUUGUGAUCUUCAGAUAACUCAAUUUGUAGUUAACUAAAGAUUUCUCAGUAAAAUUCAGUUAACUAAAUUCUUCAGAUAACUGAAUUUGUGGUUAACUGAAGAUUUAUCAUUUAAAUCCAGUUAACUGAAUCUUUAGAUAAUUCAAUUUGUGUUUAACUGAAGAUUUCUCAUUUAAAUCCAGUUAACUGAAUCUUCAGAUAACUCAAUUUGUGUUUAACUGAAGAUAUAUCAUGUACAUCCAGUUAACUGAAUCUUCAGAAAACUCAAUUUGUGUUUAACUAAAGAUAUAUCAUUUACAUUCAGUUAACUGAAUCUUCAGAUAAGUGAACUUCAGUUAACUACAAACUAAGUUAAUUGACACUGUAAAAAUUGCACUUAUCUGGAGACAUUCAGAUAACUAGUAACAAUAAAAGCAGUCAUACAGAUUUAGUUAACUAAAAGCAUUCAUACAAAUUAAGUGCAUUACAUAAUACUGGCAUUAAACCAACAAAUUCAAUACAACUAAUUAAUAGAUCUUCUUGAAUGAAUUACUCAAAUUCAUCUAAGAUCUCCUUCACCCUCCUUAUCUUGCUCUUGGUCUCCUCCUUGUGCCUGAAUAGAUCACCAAUCAUGUACUCUAGUUGCUUCUUCUCCUUCUUCAACUCAUCCCUCUGUGACACCACUUUGUCCAACUCUUCCUUCAUGCUGUCCAUCUGUUUCUUCAUCUCAUCCCUCUCUUUCUCUGCCUUAGCCCUCACAACCUGAUGAAUGCUAGUGGUAGAUUUAUCAGACAUCUUUUUCUUCUCAAGCUCUUCCUUUAGGUCAGAAAGAGCAAGUCUUGCAUUGCCCAAUUCAAUAAUUGCCUGCUCCUUGUCACCCACCAUCUUAGCAAAAUCUAGCUUAAAAAACCUCAGAUCAUUUUCCAUCUUUUCCUUCUCUUUCAGAACCCUAAAAUUUUCUUCAGCAAGAACUACACUUUCCCUGAGCCUUAGCUUGUUCUCAUCAUCAUACAUGCCCCAAACCCUAGCUAAACUCAUCUUCAGAGUGGCAGGCCAUUCAGGGUCAAUCCACUCCACAAAGUUGCAUUUAGGAAUUUCCUACCAAAUAAGAAAAGAAUACAACUUUAGAUAAAAAAAGAUGUUAACUGAAAAGUUCAGUUAACAUACUGCAGUUUUCUUCAGGCAACUGAAUUUGGAUAUAGCUGCAAUUAUCUUCAGUCAAAUGAAAAAUUAAGUUAACUAACUACAGAUUUCUUCUGUUAACUAUAUUGCUGCACUCUUAUACAGAUCAAAGUGACAUGACACAUUCCAAUAACUAUAAAUCUACUAACCUUCCGUGCACAAGCAAGAUACCUUCUACCACUGUCAACAGAUUCAAAGGACACAAACUUCUCACAGACGCAUUGGUGUUCACAUCUAACUGAGAGAUCUGGAGCAAGGCCACUCCACUCUGAGCAGAAGAUAGUGGCAGCAGCAGGAGCCUACAACACAUUCUUGUCAGCACAACAUUGACCAUUUCUUAGCAGUAGGAUCCCUAACCCUAACUGGAGGUGGACGAACUAACCUCACUUGUCACAGAGUAGCCUUCCAACGACGAGCUGGAUCCUUCACUCCAAGAAACCAUGGCCGCGAGCUGCAAGGCGGUGUCGAGAUGGACGGCGGCGGCGAUCUGGAGCAGACGAGCUGAAGAAGAAGAAGCAGAUAGGCGAGUGGAUAGGAGAGAGCCGACAGGAUAGGAUAUGCCAAAGGAAUAUACCCUUGAGCCGACAAAUUAACUCAGGUGAAGUACUGCGGGUUGAUAAGGCAAGAAGGCAGGGGGCUAUGUGAAAAAUGCAGCGCGCUGACCAGCCAGGCCACUUGGCAUCCACUUGGCGAGCUGUGAGUGACUGUGGACUAAAUUUGCACAUCCAUUGCAAGUUGAGCGAUGAAAUAAUCAGCUUUUUCAAGUACAAGGACUAAAGCAUCACCUGACAUGCAAGUUCAGGACCUGGGAUGCUAUUACCUCCCCAACGAGGUGUAGAGGCAAAACAGAGAGGACCUUGCUAUGCUUGGUGGGUCGUGGGGUCGUGGCUGUGAACAGAGGUAUUCUGUGAUGAGGAACUAUCGACUUUCUGUCUGCUGUUCAUCUGUGCGCCGUUGGCAUCUGUACUAUCAAUGAUCACGGCAAUGAAAUGUGGUGCGGAACUGGCGCAGAAGACCAUGGCAUCUGGCGGUUAGGCCACUGCCCGGACCAAAAUAAUGGUUGGCUCAACCAUAGCUGCACAAAAGAGUGCGUGCCUGGGAGCUUGAACAAAGCCCCAUGUCGUGACACGCGCAAAAGGACGGGUCCACUUAGGCAACCCCAACUCGGAACACUGCAAUAGCACGACAGGCCAACCAACCUCCAAAGCCGCCUCCAAAAGGCUAUUUUAUGGCUUAUAUUCUUGUUUCCAUUUGUUCAUUCACAUCUAAUCAUUUACACCAUUCCCGUAUAUAUUCUUAUCCAUGCUAAUGGCCUUUGGAGAUUAUUUACAGAACAAACAUCUGUUCGACGUGUUGUCUGUAGUAUUGUUUUACUUCUUGGCUGCAGUGUCAGAGAUAUAUAGUUUCCUUACCUUCUGGUCUGCAGUUGGUCUCUGCGUCAAUUUAGUCAUUUCACCUUCUUGGUCGUCCUUUCGGAAUGAUUCACUAAAGGAGUGUCUACUAUAUGUGCCAUCAAAAGUAAGUCGGCAAAGAAAGUUAUGGAUAAUGAUCAUCGUCAAGGCAAAUGAGGGAGCAGUAUGAUCAUAAUCAUUUGCAGACACUUGAAGAAAAAAUCUUUCAAACAGUCCAUUUAACUUCCAGCAUGUAGUUUGUCUCUACAUCAAUUGACGCAGCGAGUCGUCUACUAAAAUUAAUAGAGCAACGAACUAGGGUCUGAUCUUCAGUGAGGUAGUGACGUACCAGCCACCACGCGUCCAAUGCAGAUCCUCUUUAAAAAAAUAAGUAAUGCAUGUAUCGAGAGGAAAAGUUGUAAUAAUCACCUAACAAGUUCACGUAUAUAAGCUAGCCCGGUCCAUGUCCACACCCACUCGUACCUCCAUCAAGUCAUUGCAGCCGAGAGCUGACUCAUUUGGAGCUCCCUCCCUCCACGUCAUAGAGAAGUUCCGAGACACUGCCCUCCACUGCAGGAUUAUGUAUGCUCCUCUCUCUCUCUCUCUCUCUCUCUCUCUCUCUCUNNNNNNNNNNUAUAUUAAUUAUUCAACUAGCUAGUUCUAAUCUCUAGUUCGACAAUUUUUCUAUCUAGCUAGCUAAUUCAUCUAACAUUCGACAUUAAUCUAACAUUCGAUCAUCUAAUUAACUUUUCUAAAAAACAGAAAAUAAGUAAAAAAAAUGUGUGUGUGUAUGUGUGUGUGUAUGCAUGUGUGUAUAUAUACGUAUAUGUGUGUACGUAUAUGUGUAUGUGUGUGUGUAUGCGUGUGAUGUGUGCAUGUGUGGUAUAUGUGUGUGUGUGCGGUGCCGCCGCCCCGUACGUACGAGCGGGGGGCGCCGGCGUAUGGGGCGGGGGCGCCGGCGUACGGGGCGGGGGCGCCGCCAUUGUGUGUGUGUAUGUGUGUGUGUAUGUGUGUGCGGCCGGGAGCGAGAGAGAGACGUACGGCCACAGCGAUGACGACGGACGGCGGCGGCGUUCGGGGCGGCAGCGCGCGAGACGACGACGACGACGGGCGGCGGCGGGGACAUCGACGAUGACGACGGACGGCGACGAUGGGAUCGAGCGGCGCGCGCGGCGGAGGUUGGAGACGAAGUGGCGAGUUGAAACUGAAAUUUUCGUACGUGCUGUAUAUAUAGGAUUGGCCUUUAGUACCGGUUCGUGCCACGAACCGGUACUAAAGGCCUAUUUUCCCCAGGCCAAGCGGCGGGAAACGACCCCUUUAGUACCGGUCCGUGCCACGAACCGGUACUAAAGACCCCCCCUUUAGUACCGGUUGGAGCCACGAACCGGUACUAAAGGGGGUGCGCUGCCACCCGCGGUGCACAAAAGUUUGGUCACACCUCGCUAGCCGAGGGGCACUCGCACCUGCUUAUAAGCCCCGCCGCCGCUGCUGUCUCGAGCUCCUCUCUAAAGCAGGCCUUCUGGGCCUACCUCUGCUACUCUGCCCUGUGGGGCCUAUUGGGCUUGCGGGCCUGCAUCCUGGCCCAACAACAGGUUGGGUUUCUAGUCGUAUGCAGGCCGCUGUGGCCUAGUAGGUGGGCUUUUUUCAUUUAGUUGUUUUUUGCUGUAUUUAGAGUUUGCGCUACCAUCCCAAAAUUUAGUCCCACCUCGCCCGGCGAAGGGCAGCCGCACUGGUUUAUAAACCAAGCCGCGGCUACCUCUUCGAACUCUUCUAUAUAGCAGGCUUCUAGGCCUAAUUAAUUAGGGCGCGCUGCCCUGUGAGUCUGCUGGCCCUUCUGGGCCUGCAUUUGCACACCCUAGGUCUGGUAGACCCACAGGGCAGUGCGCCAACAAAUUUGCUAUAUAGUUUUUUCUUUUCUGCAUUACUUAUUUUUAAUUAUUUAUUUUUGAGUAGUUUUUUAUAUAGUUUUUUUCUGCAUUAUUUAUUUUCUUCUAUUUAUUUUUGAGUAAUUUUUUUGUAUAGUUCUUUUAUUUUCUGCAUUACUUAUUUUUGCAUAGUCCGAAACCCUGAUACUCGGAAAGAGUUUGUUCAGUUUGUACACGAAGUGCGUCCAGUUUUUGCCGUGACCCUCUCUACUCUUUCGCGCAUACUAUGCGGGUGAUACGAUGAUACCAUGCCAAGUUUCAACAUUUUCAGGAUUCAUUUUGUAGUGAUUUUCAAUUUUACGGUCAUUUAGCUCUCUAAACAAUUAGGUAAAUGACCGAAAAACAACAAAUGAUGCAGAACAUGUUGAAAAUUGAUGACGUCGCUUUAAAUGCUGCAUACUGAACACAAAAGAAGUCCGGAGUUCAAAUAAGUAUAAAAAACAUUGAAGUGGCCAUGUAACAGAUGAGUUCUUGUCCGAAACCCUGAUACUCGGAAAGAGUAGGUCCAGUUUGUACACGAAGUGCGUCCAGUUUUUGCCGUGACCCUCUCUACUCUUUCGCGCAUGCUAUGCGGGUGAUAUGAUGAUACCAUGCCAAGUUUCAACAUUUUCAGGAUUCAUUUUGUACUGAUUUUCAAUUUCACGGUCAUUUAGCUCUCUAAACAAUUAGCUAGGUAAAUGACCGAAAAACAACAAAUGAUGUCAGAACAUGUUGGAUAUUGAUGACGUCGCUUUAAAUGCUGCAUACUGAACACAAAAGAAGUCCGGAGUUCAAAUAAGUUUAAAAAACAUUGAAGUGUGGCCAUGUAACAGAGUUCACAUUUGACCGUUUUUCUACUAGUCAAUAGAGUUUGCCAAACUUGAGUUUCCCAAGUCACUUACACAAAAAGCUAUGAUUCAUGGUUGUCAAAUCCAUAAUUUCCAAACCACAACAACCUUGAGGCAUAACAAGCUUUAAAUGCUGCAUACUGAACACAAAAGAAGUCCGGAGUUUAAAUAAGUUAUUAAAAAUAAAAAAGAGGUGCAAUGCUGGUUAAUUUGCUUCAAGCCAUUCGGAAUAGUGUAGACUGCACUGCACAUAGCUCAGUGCAAUCUAUGCUAUUCCGCAAGGCUUGAAGCUAAUCAACAUGUAGAAGAUCAUCUUGAGCUUGUGUCCCCUUGAAGGAAGUAGGAUACUUCUCUUGUUGAGGAACAAACUUUGUCUUUGGGGUAUUGAUCUUCUUCCCACUCAACUCCAUUGGCAUUGAACUUUCGUUCAAAACCAACACCUUGAUUCUUCCCUUCAAUAAGCUAUUUUCUUGCUCAAGUGUAACUUGGCUAAGAGAAUCGUUAGUGGAAUCAAGAGAACUACUAGAAGCAACAAUGUUAGAUCUUAUGUCACAAAAAAGAAGUUGUAUCAAACCUUUUAUGUCGGAUCUAGAACAAACCAAUCGGUAUCGCCAUCAUACAGCCCUACCGUGGCUCGUGAUGCAUAUAUAUGCAUAUCGAAUGUACGGUUGGGCGUAUGAUGGCGAAUCCGAAUGAUUUGUAUUCAGUCGAUGAACUGGUAGAUGUAUGCAGUCGAUGAACUGGUAGAUGUAUGUAGUCGAUGAACUGAAAGACUUAUGCAGGGACGAAGGCGAGAGAUGGGCUAUAUAUAGGGUCGUCUGGCUCACAAAGUGAUUGUGAUAGUUUCGAUCCAACGACUCACAUGAGCUAGGAAGAAACACACCCUUGAUCCAACGACUCGCAAGAGCUAGAAAGAAACACACGAUCCGUGUGAUUCUUCCUGAUUGGUGGGAUGCACAUUAGUAUCGGUUCGUGCCACGAACCGGUGGUAAAGAUUGGCAACGAACCGGUACUAAUGGUAGCAGCCCGCCUAGCCGUUGGAAUCGGCACUAAUGGUCACAUUCGUGCCGGCUCAAAUUCAAACCGGCACUAUAAUGUGCUUCACAUUUGACCGUUUUUCUACUAGUCAAUAGAGUUUGCCAAACUUGAGUUUCCCAAGUCACUUACACAAAAAGCUAUGAUUCAUGGUUGUCAAAUCCAUAAUUUCCAAACCACAACAACCUUGAGGCAUAACAAGCUUUAAAUGCUGCAUACUGAACACAAAAGAAGUCCGGAGUUUAAAUAAGUUAUUAAAAAUAAAAAAGAGGUGCAAUGCUGGUUAAUUUGCCUCAAGCCAUUCGGAAUAGUGUAGAUUGCACUAAGCCACUGCACAUAGCUCAGUGCAAUCUAUACUAUUCCGCAAGGCUUGAAGCAAAUCAACAUGUAGGUGAGCAUUGCAACUCUUCAUCAUUGUCUGUGCACUCACGGCUUAUAAACCGCUCAUAUUGCCUCUCUCUUGGCGAGGUGGGACUAAAAACAGCUUGCCGUAAACCGGCACCGCUCAUUAGUACCGGUUCGUGGUACGAACCGGCACUAAAUGGUGAUGGUGGGGCCAUAGCCUGACCGCAGGAUGACACAGCCUCUUUAGUACCGGUUCGUGGCAUGAACCGGUACUAAAGGUUCGCCACGAACCGGUACUAAUGUGCACAUUAGUGCCAGCUCAAAUACAAACCGGCACUAAUGUGCUUCACGUUUGACCCUUUUUCUACUAGUGUCUCCUUCCAACCAUUAACCAUAGCCAAGAUCCUUUCAAUAAUGUGUUUGAAGCAAUCUACCCUGUCUACUCUGAUCAUGGAUGGGAGUCCAAUGUACUUAUCCGACAAAGAUUAUGUCAUUAUAUUAAAUAUAUGGCAAAUUUCUGCCCUCGUCUCUACAUUUGUAUUUGGGAUGAAGUAAAUUGAACACUUGGCCACGCUCACCAGCUAUCCCGAGGCCGCACAGUAUGCAUCAAGUAUAGUUCUCAGGGGUAGUGGCAUUCCCCUCACCAGCUUUCAUUAGAACAAGAGAAUCGUCAACAAAUAAUAAAUGAGAAAUUUUUGGGGAAUCUCGACAAACCUGAACACCAUGUAAGGAAUCCACUGACUCCUCAUGGGCAAUUAAGGCCGAAAGUCCCUCAGCACAGAGAAGAAAUAAAUAAGGGGAUAAGGCAUCCCCCUGCCUCAAGCCUCUGGUCGGCGUGAAAGGGAGUGUUCCAUUUGAAUUAAAAUGGGCCUUAUAUUCCAUUGAUCUCACACAUGACAUAACCAGCUGGAUCCAUUUGUUACCAAACCAAACUUUCCCAGUAUAGCCUCUAGGAAGACCCAUUCGACUCGGUCAUAUGCCUUACGCAUGUCCAACUUCACCACAUAUAUCCCAAAUUUCCCUUUCUUUCUUUGCUUCAUCGUAUGCAGACACUCGACGUUAUCGGUAACCUCACUUGGAGCUAUAUUUUUAUACGUCACAUAAUAUGAAUUUUGCUUGGAUCGUCAUUUUAUUUUGUUGAGAUUUGCUUGUUGUUAUCAAUAAUCAUGUUUUGUAUAUUUUAUUUCAAUACAAAUGCCAAUUAUAGCCUUUACCAUACCCAGUUUGCAAGUUUAUGUGUUGUUGUUUGAAAACAGAAAAUUUCUGUUAUGUCCGGCAUUUAUGUGAACUGUCAGAACAUGAUAAAAGUAUAAAAAAAAUUACACGGUAAGAAUGCAUGAGUUCUCUGUCACGUGGUAACUUUAAAAAAAAUUGAGUUAGGAAAGUAUGAAUUUUUAUUCCCGCUUUACAAACUGUUAUGUUUAGAUAGAUUUUGGUUAUGGUUGCAUUGUUUGCAUAUAUUUGUUUGUUUAAUGUUUCUAUUUGUGCAAAGGAGUAUUAAAUAUGUAGAGGCAUUUAUUAUGCAAUGUUUAAUUAUAAUUUUAGUGAUUUGCUACAGUAUAGAAUGUUAAGGUUUUGAGUUGAUUUAUACUAACUUAUCUCAUGAGUUCUUAUUGAGUUUUGUGUAGAUAAAGUUUUUAAGAUUCAGGAGAAGCCAUGAUAUGAGAGGAAUUAAGGAGACACAAGAGCUCAAGCUUGGGGAUGCCCAAGCCUCCCCAAGAUAACAUUCCAAGAAGUCUCAAGAAACUAAGCUUGGGGAUGCCCCGGUAGGCAUCCCACCUUUUAAAUCAACACCUAUCGGUUAGCCGAAGUGUUUACUUGUCUACAUGAUAUGUGUUAUUCUUGGAGUGUCAUUUCAUUUUCAUUUUGUUUGUUGUUUGAAUAAAAUUAUUAGAUAUGAAAUCUUUAUUUGCAGAGAUGCUUCACAUAGCUACUUCAUUGUUUGACUACUCAUUGAUCUUCACUUAUAUCUUUUCGAGUAGUUUGUCAUUCAUUCUUGUGCUUCACUUAUAUCUUUUGAGUAAAUUGUUGAAUGAAUUGAAUAUCAUAAAUCUAAAAUUAUCCGUGUUCCAUAUGCUUCCUAAUAUUUCACAUUUGGUUUAGACAGUGAGAUCUAUUGAAGUUUGACAAUCACAAUAUUGGUCGUACAAGCAAUUCAUGAAUGAUUAGUAUAUGGAAGAGAAAUUUCACAGACAAAUAUAUUAUCUUGGACAUCUUUUAUGAUUGUGAAUACCCAUUAAUUAUGUUCAAAGUUGAGAAAAUUAGUUGAAAUUGGACAAGGAAAACAACAUAAUGAGUUAUGUUUGGGUAUAUUUGCAUAGAGGUUAUAUUGUUAUGGAUCCUCUAACAUGUGGUGCUUGUUUAGAAUCUUUUUCUAGCCAAAAUUUCCGUACUAAGUGGGAAUACUACUUGUGCAUCCAAAGUCCUUGAGCUAAGUUUCUUCCAUGAGUAUCCACUAUAACUACCUAUAUACGGUAUUACUCCGCCAUUCCAAGUAAAUUUGCAUGUGCCAUCUCUAAAACCUUUAAUAAUCAUCUUUUUGUGUGCUCGUACCGCUCAUGGAGCAACGGGGUGGUCAGUAUCUUCCAUGCUAAGUGGGUUAUUCUCAUGAUGGUGUUUAUUCAUUUGUCCUUGCAUGAGAGAGGCUGGUAAUCAGGAUGCCCAGUCCCUUAAAUAAAAAGAAAAAAUACAAUAAAAACAAAGGCUCCCCUGGAAAGUUGAAAGUUUGGAAGGCACCCGUGAAUUCAGCUAGCCAUGGCUUGUGUUUGAAUAGUUGAGGGGGAGUUAAACCUUUCAUUUCUCCAUCGGAACCGCCAAUAAUGUGUUUAGCAUGGAAUAUAUUGAAUACCUUAGUCGUGACGUUGACAGCAAAGGCACACCACUCAAAAUGUAUUCAUCUUUGUUUUAAGCUAUGAGCUCUGGCACCUCUACAAAUCCCUACCUCCCUCUGCGAAUGGACAUUCUAAUUACUUUUAUGCUAUUUACUAUCAUGUUAUUUAUCUUUGUUGAGUCAACUUCUUAUUCCAACCUACUCUCUAGUUGGCAAGCAUUAUGUGGUGGGGAAGGAUCCUUGCACAUAUAGCCAUUCAAAUAUAUUUGAUCAUGAUUUAUUAUUGUUGACAAUUAUCUCUAUGAUAAAUGAGUUGGGAGGUGAAACAUCAAGCCCAUAUCUUUCUCUGUGUUCGAUGGAUGAUAUUUGUUCUAAAAGUAUGCUUUGAGUGUUAGCAAUCAUAGAAGACUAUAUGAUGAUUGAGUAUGCAGAGCUCUUAAUUAGACUUUGUUAAAAAUGAGAUGCCUUCAUUUUGUUUGCUGACUAAGAACAUAGCUUGUUAAGUUUCAAGAGAAUGUAUUCUUUAAACUAUGACAUGUGAAUUCAUUGUUACUUUAUCAUGAUGAGUUUUAUGAGGAAUAGUUCAUGUUAUGAUGCUAGGAGAAGUGAUUGAAAUUAUGAUUGAUCUAAUUUUUGCAUUAUGCUAGCAUUCACACUUCAUAAAUUAUUUAUUUUAUCAUUUACCUACUCGAGGACGAGCAGGGAUUAAGCUUGGAGAUGCUGAUAUAUCUUUAAUGUAUCUAUAAUUUAUGAAGUAUUCAUGCCAUGUUAGCAAUAGUUUUACAUGGUUUUGGUGCACAUUUAUAUGACAUUUAUAUGAUUUUCAUGGACUAACAUAUUAACCUAGUGCCCAGUGUGAGUUGUUGGUUUCUGCUUGUUUUUUGUUUCACAGAAAAACAAUACUAAAUAAAGUCCAAAUGUGAUAUUUGUUAUGGAGAUAUAUUUUGGAAUAUAUGUGAUUUUUGGGAAGAAGAAUCAACGCAAGACGGUGCCUGAGGUGGCCACAAGGGAACAGGGCGCGCCCCUGGCCGCGCCAGGUUGCCUAAUGGGCACCUCGUAUGUCGGUUGGAACCUUUCUUUCGCCGCAAGAAAAGAUAAAAAUCCCCAUAAAAUUUCAGCCCAAUCGGAGUUACGGAUCUCCGGCUAUAAAAGAAACGAUUUUCGACCAGAAAACAAUAGCGAGAAAUAGAAGAGAACAAUGAGAUCCAAUCUAGGGGAGAGAUCCCUCUCCCCCACGGACAACCAAGGAAGAAGGAGGAGGGCCCCCCUAUCCCUCCCCUCCAGUGGUGCCAGAGCGCCACCGGGGAAAUCUCCUCUAUCACCAUCACCACCAACUUCUCCUCCGUUCUUAUGGUGAUGUGUGAGUAGUUCAUCCUCGAGGCUAAGGGUAUGUACCAGUAGCUAUGUGUUUGAUCUCUCUUUCUCUUGUUUUCUUGAUUUGGCACGAUUUUGAUGUACCGCGAGCUUUCUUAAUAUAGUUGGAUCAUAUGGUGUUUCUUCCCUCUCUAUCUUCUUGUGAUGAAUUGAGUCUUUCCCUUUGAGGUUUCGUUAUUGUCGGAUUGAAUACUUUGGAUUUGAGAACACUUGAUGUAUGUCUUGCAUGUGGAUACCUGUUGUGGCAGUGGGGUAUUCCAUUGAGUCACUUGAUGUAUGUUUUGGUAAUCAACUUGCGGAUUCCCGUGACCUUGGGGUAAUCUAGGCAUAUGGGUUGGUAUACAUUUUCAUCCUUCAUCCUUCUUUCUCCGAAGAAACUUAGGGGUACUCUUUGAAAUUUUUGUGUGGAUUGAAUAUUAUGAAUCUGAAGUUGUUUGAUUCUUAUCGAAUAAUCAACUCACGGAUACUUGUGGUGACAUUGGAGUGUCUAGGUGACAUUAGAGUUGGUUGAUGCAUAUCAUAUGGCGUUAUUUUAGUAUGUACUCUAGGGCUGUUUGUGGCACUUAUUGGGAUGGCUCAAUAGAUUGAUCGGAAAGGAUAACUUUGAGGUGGUUUCGUACCCUGCAACAAUUUCUUCUUAUGUUCUCCGAUAGAUAAGAACUUUGGAGUGAUUCUUUGUCGCACAUUGAGGGAUGUUAUAUGAUUCAAUUAUGUUAGCAUUGUUGAGAGAUUGCACUAGUGAAAUUAUGAACCCUAGGCUUGUUUUCAAGCAUUGCAAUAUCGUUUGUGAUCUCUUUUGUUACUUGCUACCUUGAUGUUUUUAUUAUUUCAGAUUACAAAAUCCUAUAUCUACUAUCCAUACUACACGUGUAUCACCAUCUCUUCACCGAACUAGUGCACCUAACAAUUUACCAUUGUAUUGGCUGUGUUGGGGACACAAGAGAUUUCUUGUAUUUGAUUGCAGGGUUGUUCGAGAGAGACCAUCGUCAUCCUACACCUCCCACGGAUUGAAAAACCUUAGGUCAUCCACUGGCAAGAAAUUUGCUAUUGUCUUACAAAACUCUGCACUUGGAGGCCCAACAACGUCUACAAGAAUAAAAGUUGCGUCAUAGACAUCAAUAACAUGUGUAUGUUUUAUGUGAACAUCAAACUUUAUGUAUAGUGUGUAUGAAUGUAUGUAUGUAAAUUGUGUAUGUGUAGUUGAUGUAUGAAAUGUAUAUUUGUAUGUGAUGACAUAUGAAAUGCAAUGUUUACAUGUGUUUGUGCAUAAGUGUGGUGAAAUGCACAACGCUGGUAAUGCUAGCAGUGCACCCGUUUUCCAAAGCCACCACAAGUCAUCACUGACCGGCCAUAAUGGGGAGGCCAAUAAGUAGUGACUUUCCUAUGGACACACCUUCGACAAUCAUCACAAACCUACCAAAUAUAAUCAACAAUGGUUCGGGUGACUAGUCAGUGAUAAGGGUUCAUCAGUAAAAGAAACUAUUGAGGUGUCGUCGACUGGUCAAUGAGGAUUGUUUUAGUCAGUCAGUGUUUACCGGUGGCCCUGUAGUAGUGUUCGUAACUAGGACAUCAUGUAAACAAAAUUGAAAAGGAUUAAUAAAAGUCUAUCCUUUUUUGACCACUUUACUCAAGUUUUCUCCUCUAAGUUAUCUUAAUUUAAAUAAUAUUUUUUUACUAACUAACAUUUUUCGGCAGAGUUGCAUAUGGUGCUAUUUGUUUAUGUAGGUAUUAAACUUAUUUAGAAAAAUAAAAAUGGAGUUGGUUUUGGACCGAAAGAGGGCCACAGCCUAAAGGAGGGCUUGUGAUCACAACGGUGCAUGUGUCCUAUAAGACCCCCUCUACCUAGAAACCCUCAAAGAUUUUUCAUGUAUUUUCCACGGUAGAAGCGGACUGGACAGUUGUCAGGCCUUUGAAGAAAUUUGUUAAUUAGCAUCAAUAUUAUGUAUUACUUUUUAAUUAUGAUAUUUAGUCAUGAUUUGAAGCAUUUAUAUACGUAAUUGGAUUUGGCAAAGAAUGAAACAAAGUUUGAUCAUGAAUGAGUAGUGAAUGGUUUUGCUUUUCUUAUGGGCACAAAUCCAUCAAUUUGAGAGUCAUUGUUAAAGCGAAUAGAGGGUUAGGACACCAGUAUGUGAGUCACCGGAAGAGAUGGACGGAAAUAAUAAGAGUAUUAAUCGAGAUACUAUGCCAACAUUAAUUUAGAAGAUACAUGAAUGCAAGAGCCAAUAAAUAUUCCACAUUGAGUGAGAAAUAAUCCUCAAGAAAAUAUACAGAUUUGUGGGGUAUUGAUUUUGACGUAAAGUGAUAUCAGAGUAAUAAUACAAGAAUAUAUAGUGUAAAUGGAACACAAAUGCAAGAUAUAUCAACAUUAAUUAAGUGGAUAAUUAAUGCAGGAAGCCAUAUGAGAAACAUCUAUGCAAAUAUUAUUGUGCCUCGAUUGAGAAAUAACUAUUUCUGAUUGACUGAGAAAUUGUCCCUUAAUAAAAUAUAGAAUAUAAUGCUUGGCAUUUAUUUUAACAUAACAAGAUAUCAUGAUAUCAAUACCAGUAUUAUAUAUCUUGUGUCGGUGUAAAGAGCAUACAAAUGCAAAAUAUAUCAACAUUAGUUAGUAGAUAAUAAAUGCAAGAAAUGAUACUAGCAACAUCUAUCAAAGAUAUGAUUGUCCUUUGAUUAAAGAAAUAACCAUUAUAAACUGACUCAGAAAUUAAUAGUUCCUCAAUAAAUGCAAAAUAUGAAGAUUUGUGUGGCAUUUCUUUUGAUGUAACAAGAUAUCAUGAUAUAAAAUACAAUGCAUAUAGUGUAAAUACAAUGCAUAUGCAACAUAUAUCAACAUUGUUUUAGUAAAUAACAAAUAUAAUAAACUAUAUGGGAAAUAUUUGUGCAAGAUAUGGAUGUGCCUCUAUAUAAAGACAAUAAAUAAAAGGAGCUUUGGCAGCAAAGCAACACACCAUAAGAACACAAGGAAGAUGAACCUACACAAGUCACAUGCCUCUUCUCCUCAUGGCACCGAUAAACCAAGGAAACACAAGGAGGGCCAGGUCCAUUGCUUUCCUUAUCCUCGUGAUGCUCUUUGCUUGUACCCUAUCAUCCCGCCACGCACGAGGUAAGCACUGUUUGAAAGGGCUAAUCUAGAAUAAUCUUGUCUUGUUGAAUUGCUAAUGAUGAAUACAACUUUAUUGCAUCUGCAGGUGGAGAGCCAUAUUGCAUAGGUCCGAUACUAGUAUGCUCUGAGCCUAGUUGCAUGGAAGAAUGCAACUUAAUAGACAAGGGUCUUCAUUCCUUCUAUUGCAACCACCUUGGACAAUGUUGUUGUUGGCCUCUAUAGUUUGAUUGGACACAACCAUUUUGGUUAUGGAUCCAUGACGUCGAAUGAAUCUUGAUCGUGCUUGUGUGAUGUAAUCUCGGUGAAUAAACUCCUUGAAUGGAAUGAGUCGUUCUUUUUAUGUAGACGGAAUAAAAUGUUCCUUUAAAAUGUGAUUUGUGGCAUCUACAGCAGGCCGUCUUUCUUGCAUGACCAAGUUUUCAAUCCAACCCAAUGAUUUUAAUGUAUGAAUAAUGUUCUUCCUAUAUUUCAUUGUAUGGAUCUAUUUUCCUAUAGGAAUCAAUUCUAA
rnacentral:lncRNA from 1 species